UCAGAGGAUGGGGAGCAACAAAAGAAGCUAGCCAGAGGUGCUGAGAGUGAGGAUUCUAACAAAAUACAGAAAUCACAUGGCUCAACUCCAUGUCAAUCUCCAGUCCAUACAAUACUACAAAGAAGUGAGACAUGCUGUCUGGAACAUGAUGUGCUCUACUAGCUUCAUUUGGCUCCUGAACUGAUUCUGUGUCCUCUGGUUGGAGUCUUAUUUUGGAAAUGGAGAGACUGAUAUAAUCUGCCC